rnacentral:rRNA from 1 species
AAACACAAGAUCAACUAUGCUAUCAAGCCUAUCGCCCACGGAAAUAAUAGCUAAAAGCAUAAUAGUACCCUGAUCCCAAUGUUUUCGGUUGGGGCGACCACGGAGGACAAAAAAGCCUCCAUGUCGACGGGGGCACUGCCCCUAAAACCUAGGGCGACAGCCCAAAGCAACAGAACAUCUGACGAACAAUGACCCAGGCUAAAGCCUGAUCAACGAACCAAGUUACCCUAGGGAUAACAGCGCAAUCCUUUCUAAGAGUCCAUAUCGACGAAAGGGUUUACGACCUCGAUGUUGGAUCAGGACAUCCUAAUGGUGCAGCCGCUAUUAAG